rnacentral:rRNA from 2 species
UACGGAGGGUGCAAGCGUUAUCCGGAUUCACUGGGUUUAAAGGGUGCGUAGGAGGGCAGGGAAGUCAGUGGUGAAAUCUUGGGGCUUAACCCCGAAACUGCCGUUGAUACUCUCUGUCUUGAAUCCCGUGGAGGUGAGCGGAAUAUGUCAUGUAGCGGUGAAAUGCUUAGAUAUGACAUAGAACACCAAUUGCGAAGGCAGCUCGCUACACGAAGAUUGACUCUGAGGCACGAAAGCGUGGGGAUCAAACAGG